rnacentral:tRNA from 1 species
GCCCAAGUGGCGGAAUGGCAGACGCGCUCGACUCAAAAUCGAGUGGGAAACCGUGCGAGUUCGACUCUCGCCUUGGGCA